rnacentral:lncRNA from 1 species
GGCUCCCCGCCGCCGGAGUUGAGGGGGAGGCGCGCUCUCCGUGGUGAAUUUGUAACCGAAAGGCCCAGGUGAGAUGUGCAAAUAUCACUGGAUUGGAGGAGCUCACUUGGAAAGCCAGUAUUCCUCCUGAGCUAAUGAAAAGAAAGGCUGUCGUCUUAUGCCAAAAGCAAUACCAACCUUGUUCACGGGCUGAGAUCUAGAGUGUGUAAUUCACGAAGUAUGAAUCUGCUGGGUAAUGUGAUAUGAAAAGCGAAUGCACCAUUUCUUGGUGAUGAUUCAGAGUGGGUACAGAGGAAAGGCC